GGGGGAUAACCAUUGGAAACGAUGGCUAAUACCGCAUGAUGCCUACGGGCCAAAGAGGGGGACCUUCGGGCCUCUCGCGUCAGGAUAUGCCUAGGUGGGAUUAGCUAGUUGGUGAGGUAAUGGCUCACCAAGGCGACGAUCCCUAGCUGGUCUGAGAGGAUGAUCAGCCACACUGGAACUGAGACACGGUCCAGACUCCUACGGGAGGCAGCAGUGGGGAAUAUUGCACAAUGGGCGCAAGCCUGAUGCAGCCAUGCCGCGUGUGUGAAGAAGGCCUUCGGGUUGUAAAGCACUUUCAGUCGUGAGGAAGGUGGUGUAGUUAAUAGCUGCAUUAUUUGACGUUAGCGACAGAAGAAGCACCGGCUAACUCCGUGCCAGCAGCCGCGGUAAUACGGAGGGUGCGAGCGUUAAUCGGAAUUACUGGGCGUAAAGCGCAUGCAGGUGGUUUGUUAAGUCAGAUGUGAAAGCCCGGGGCUCAACCUCGGAAUAGCAUUUGAAACUGGCAGACUAGAGUACUGUAGAGGGGGGUAGAAUUUCAGGUGUAGCGGUGAAAUGCGUAGAGAUCUGAAGGAAUACCGGUGGCGAAGGCGGCCCCCUGGACAGAUACUGACACUCAGAUGCGAAAGCGUGGGGAGCAAACAGGAUUAGAUACCCUGGUAGUCCACGCCGUAAACGAUGUCUACUUGGAGGUUGUGGCCUUGAGCCGUGGCUUUCGGAGCUAACGCGUUAAGUAGACCGCCUGGGGAGUACGGUCGCAAGAUUAAAACUCAAAUGAAUUGACGGGGGCCCGCACAAGCGGUGGAGCAUGUGGUUUAAUUCGAUGCAACGCGAAGAACCUUACCUACUCUUGACAUCCAGAGAACUUUUCAGAGAUGAAUUGGUGCCUUCGGGAACUCUGAGACAGGUGCUGCAUGGCUGUCGUCAGCUCGUGUUGUGAAAUGUUGGGUUAAGUCCCGCAACGAGCGCAACCCUUAUCCUUGUUUGCCAGCGAGUAAUGUCGGGAACUCCAGGGAGACUGCCGGUGAUAAACCGGAGGAAGGUGGGGACGACGUCAAGUCAUCAUGGCCCUUACGAGUAGGGCUACACACGUGCUACAAUGGCGCAUACAGAGGGCAGCAAGCUAGCGAUAGUGAGCGAAUCCCAAAAAGUGCGUCGUAGUCCGGAUUGGAGUCUGCAACUCGACUCCAUGAAGUCGGAAUCGCUAGUAAUCGUGGAUCAGAAUGCCACGGUGAAUACGUUCCCGGGCCUUGU
rnacentral:rRNA from 3 species